rnacentral:rRNA from 1 species
CUUGGUCAUUUAGAGGAAGUAAAAGUCGUAACAAGGUUUCCGUAGGUGAACCUGCGGAAGGAUCAUUAAAAAGAAUUAUACACUUUGCAUUUGCGAACAAAAAAAUAAAUUUUUUUAUUCUAACAAACUAAAUCAAAACUUUCAACAACGGAUCUCUUGGUUCUCGCAUCGAUGAAGAACGCAGCGAAUUGCGAUACGUAGUAUGACUUGCAGACGUGAAUCAUCGAAUCUUUGAACGCACUUUGCGCCUCGAGGCAUUCCUCGAGGCAUGCCUGUUUGAGCGUCGCACCCCCUCUAACCCCCGGUUAGGCGUUGCUCCGAAAUAUCAACCGCGCUGUCAAACACGUUUUCAGCACGACAUUUCGCCCUCAAAUCAGGUAGGACUACCCGCUGAACUUAAGCAUAUCAAUAAGCGGAGGAAAUCGA